rnacentral:rRNA from 1 species
CCUUUGACGUUAGCGGCGGACGGGUGAGUAACACGUGGGUAACCUACCUAUAAGACUGGGAUAACUUCGGGAAACCGGAGCUAAUACCGGAUAAUAUUUCGAACCGCAUGGUUCGAUAGUGAAAGAUGGUUUUGCUGUCACUUAUAGAUGGACCCGCGCCGUAUUAGCUAGUUGGUAAGGUAACGGCUUACCAAGGCGACGAUACGUAGCCGACCUGAGAGGGUGAUCGGCCACACUGGAACUGAGACACGGUCCAGACUCCUACGGGAGGCAGCAGGA